GAGCGCGGCGGAGCCGCAGGGCGCCGGGCUGCGCUUCGCCGAGCGGGAGCUGAGGCGGCACGGAUGGACGCGGGGCCGCGGGCUGGGGAAGCGGGAGGACGGCAUCGCGCGGCCCAUCCGCCCGAGCGUCAAGUGCGGCACCGCGGGGGUGGGGCACGACGCUGCCGAGCAGUUCUCCUUCCACUGGUGGGAUCACGUCUUCAACGAGGCGGCGGCCAACAUCGCCGUGCGGGACGGGCAGGU